rnacentral:rRNA from 1 species
UACGAAGGGGGCUAGCGUUGCUCGGAAUCACUGGGCGUAAAGGGUGCGUAGGCGGGUCUUUAAGUCAGGGGUGAAAUCCUGGAGCUCAACUCCAGAACUGCCUUUGAUACUGAGGAUCUUGAGUUCGGGAGAGGUGAGUGGAACUGCGAGUGUAGAGGUGAAAUUCGUAGAUAUUCGCAGGAACACCAGUGGCGAAGGCGGCUCACUGGCCCGAUACUGACGCUGAGGCACGAAAGCGUGGGGAGCGAACAGG